UCCAAGGGAUCUCCAUAUAUAUAUAAAGAAAACUAAAUGGAGAGCAAAUAAACUAGGGACCAGCUUGCUGUUUUCUGUCUCCCUGCAGCACAAGCAGCCAAUAUUUUAAUCACUAUGGAGUCUGAGCCUCUAAUUUCGCCUUCAAAUCCUGCUCAUUUUCUUCUAGAGUUUGCUGGUUUGGGAUGGUUCAGGUUUAAGCGAAGGGUCCCUGGGAGGAAGGGAGCUGUGAAUCCCAGAAUGGCAUCCAGAGGAAGCUUUCUCCAGAAGCUCUUCCCAGUCUGGGGCCUAGCAUGGCUGCCCUCAGAGAGGCCCAACAAGCAUCUCACUGAGACAGAAGCAGAUACUUACACCCAACCAUCGCACUGAAGCAGGGGACUCCUGCAGCUGAAUUAGGGAAAGACUGGAAGAAGCUGAGGAGGAAAGUGACCAGCAAUUUCAACUAACUUGGACCCUUGAGAUCUCGCAGACACUUAGUCACCAACCAGGCAGCAUACGGCAGCUGGUCUGAGCCCCCCACCAAUACAUAUACAAUACAUAUGCCUCACUGGCCUCAGUGGGAGAAGAAGUGCCUAACCCUGGAGAGACUUGAAGACCCAGGGUGAGGAGAGGCCUGGCAAGGGGUUGGAGGUAUGGUGGGGACAUCUUUGGAGAUGGGGUGGAAGAAUAGGAUGAGGGAAAUGUGGGAGGGUAGACUGGGAUGGGGUAACAAUUGGACUGUAAAAAUUAAAGGUAAUAAUAAUAAUUUAAGAAGCCAGUUGAGUCUGCUUAGUACUGACUCUCUGUAGUGAGUAUAUGCAUAUCUACCAGAGGGUGGAGUCCCUUUCAGGGAUCACACCCCAUGGAAACUUACGGUAUACCUCUGCCCCAGAAUCCAGCAAUUACCAACAGCUCCUCCACUAGGGAAGGACUUUGUGCCCACCUCCUGUCUUCAUGCUAUGGUUUUAAUUGGUUUGAUAUUGUGCAGGGCAUGUGCAUACGGUCACAACCACAACCACUGGAGUUUAUAUGUUUGACAGCUCUGUCAUGUUUGACAAAAAUCUUUUCCAUGCACACAUUUACUACCAGUGGCUCUUACAAUUUUUUCAAUCACCUUCCAUAAAUAUCCCUGAGUCUUGAGGUAGGGAUUUUUGUUGUUGCUGUUGGUGGUGGUAUUUUGUUUGCUUGCUUGUUUUAAUAGAUGUCUCAUUUAAACCAAGCAUUCUAUAUUAUCUUAUUUCUUGCAUAUCGACUAGUUAUGGUUCAGUGCAUUAAUCCCAUCUACUAUAAAAAGCACUUUUUGGAUGAAGAUGGAGAGAUGCAUUUAUCUAUGGGUGUAAAAAUAAACUUCAGGACAGUUUAUUACUAUGCCCAUUUAACCGAAUAAUAGUAUUAGGCUCUCCUCUAAGGCCCAUGCCCUAGUUGGCCAUGAGUUUGUUACCCAUUGUGAUGCAAUCAUGGGUUCUGUGGAAGGGGUUUUAACCCAACCAAAAAACAAAUGGUUGGCUAUUCCCAAAAUAUUCAUACUGUUAAAUGUAAGAGUUAACUCAUCUUGCUAAGUCAGUCAUUAUUGUAACUCUCAGAGUUCCCAGCUAGGUAAGACUAUGUGUUAUUUUGCUACCCUAGUAGUAUGUAUAGAUUCUUUUAGUUCUAUGAAAGCCAUGGAGUAAAGAUGAAGCUUUUAGGUUGGUACUAGCAUGAUUUUUCCAUGUCUUGUUAUAUGCAGUAUUUUCAGAAACAGCAUCUUAUUAUCAAGUUCUAGAGGGUAACCAGGAGCAAUUGCAAUUGAAAUAAUGUUGGGGGUGUAUAAGGGAACCCACUGACCAACAACUCAGAAUCCAUACCUGGCACGGGCUUUUGAUUUGAUACAUACGCUAUGUUGUUUAGGGAGGCAUUGUCCAUUGUGAUAGUGUAACUUCAUUAUAUAUAUAAUAUAUAUAUAUAUUGUUAAUAUAUAUAAUAUAUAUAAGCUUAUAUAAAUAUAAAUAUAUUCAAAUUUAUAUAUGUAUAUUUAUAUAUAAAACAUGUUUAUAUAUGUCAAGCGCACACACACACACACACACACACACACAGACAUACGUAUGUUCUUCAGUCUUAUCAGGUUUUAGACUUGUAAACUUCCUAAUUUAGCCCCCCAUAGAUCUCCCAAUAGAUUACAGACCUGAGCUACCAGGCUGUUUCAUGUAUUUUUAAAUGCUAGCUCUUGUAAAUAAUUUAAAUAUACUCUUAUACCUGAUUAGUGGUAUUACUUAAACAAAUGAACAAAUAAACAAGCAAGCAAUGUCCACAGUUGACUUUGUAGCGUUCCAGUGCAUUUAUCCUAGUAUCUGUUUUCUUUCUUCCCAGUCAGUCUGCUGACGAAUGUAUAUUUACUGAUACAUCACACUCAUGUAGUUACCGAUGUAGACCAAUGCUCCGGUGCCAGGGUUGAUUCUAAACCGCCGACACCAACCAAAAGUUAUUGAGCAGACUAUCAAAUAUUUUGCCAUCCAAGUGACAUUCUAAAUAGACUAUUUAAGAUGAGCACUAGAACAUAACUCACGAGAGUUAAUAUCUGUUGAUUUACCAUUCUUAUAUUUCCUGGAGGAGAAAUUAACACCUGUGUUAUAAAAAAUGCACACCACAGGCUGUCUUCAGUUUGUGUUAUGUUUGAAAGAUGCUGAUCUGCCACAGAUGCCAACAUACAUUCUAAUGUUACAGUGCAAACUCUGGAACAGGGGUGAAAGUGAUGAGUCUCCUCAGAUAUGCAUGAGAGAGCUGAUACCUACGGCGUGCCCUAAAACUGUUGUCAGAGAUUGAACUAGGAAAUAAACAUAAAAUAGAGUUUACAUUCAAUAUUCAAUUGCAUCAAAACCAGAUUAUCAUCUUACAUGGUUGAGGAAGGUGAACGCAAGGCAGUGUUUGCAUCCAUGAGGGGCAAGGAAAUUAAAGCAAUGAUAAAGUCCAUUAAGCAAGUAUGGGUUAGGCACGUAGUUGCUUUUGAGAAUGGGGAAUUUUAACUGUCCUCACACAGGGUCCAGUGAAACCCCAUGAUUAGAGGAAUCAAAGAUUCACUGAAAAAGACUGGACAUGGCAGUGUUGUGCUACAGUAUCAAUACAGAAAGUAUACAAUACAGAAAGGUAUUGGCUUUCUUCACCACACAGACAAAUUGCGGAUGGGAUACAGACAAUAUACAGCACAAUGUACAGUAGUUCCUAAUGACGUGUUGACUCCAAAGUCUUUGCAACCUUGGAAUCAUUGUGAUUUUGAUUAAGGUAUGGGGGGGAGGACUUAAUGGCACUGAUAGACACUAGCUUUCUAUAAAAGUGCAGUGGGCAUGCUCAUGUAAGUUUCUCACUUAGAUAUGACUAAUAUGCAAUCCUCAAAUUCCACAGAUGAAGAAUGGUAGGUAUUUUCUCUUUGGAAACUAUCUUGAUGUUUGCAUCUUUUAUGAGGACCACAAACAAGACUUUGUGCCACCGUUUAUGAACUUUGACAUUUACUUCAUUUAUUUGGGAGCAACAAAUAAAGUAGCAUUUCUUUUCCAAUAAAACCCAUCUAAACUUUAAGAGCUCCCAUCCUGUUAUCAGCAGUAUGCUCUCCUCUUGGCUUGCUCUUUUUUUAUCUGCGGCCUGCCUAGGCAGUCUCUGGGGGGGAUGGGGGUGAUUGAUUUCUUCUAUUCCCCCUCUACAGUGGCACUGAAGCACAUAAGCCCCUUCAACUGUCCAGGAACACUGUAGCCACUGUGUACACAGUGAGUCUAACAGAUUUUUGCCUGAUAUUUGGAAGGCAUCUUCUUCUACUCUAGUUCUGGGUAACAUUCCAUGGUCAGAAUAGUCCUAAAUGUUCUUUCCAUUUUUUUUUCUUCUAGAAAAAGUAAAUGGUUGAUUUUUAUUCGUAAUUUCUAAACACUUCUUCAUAAUUUUAAACUAAGCAUUAAAAUCUUUCUGAAGAACAGCCAAACAAAAACUUGUUUAUUUUUCUUAGUCAAUACAAUCUCAAGGCAACAACGAUUAUUAGGUUUUGGCAUUAUGUUAUAGGAUGUAUCUUCAUCUUUUCAAGGUUGGGCAUACAGUAAACAUUUAAGUGUAAUAUUAUGUUUGAAUCAGCGUGAAGCUGGAGGCUGGCACUUACGUUCACACUGUUGUCAUUUAUGGGAGGGAUGAUUUAAUUUUAUUAACAGAAGUAGUAUCCUUGCCACUCUGGGAAAUCAACAUUGAUUUGCAAAGAGUGUCUGUGAGGGGAAAGAAUAAAGAGGAGAAAGUACAUGUUAAGUAAAGUAAGAUAAAGGCGGUAGACACACUUGGAAACACUUGAGUCACACAACUGUGUUUCCAAGAACUGCUAAUAAAUCCAAUGCUAAGCAGGAGGUAUUUUUCCAAUUUAAGCUUUUUAAGAUGCACAUUGAUUUGUGUCUAGAAGGAACAGAUUGUUGAAUUUGGAAUCCAUAGUUCUAUGUCACACCCUGCAACUGGACAAUGUUGAAGGGAGGCUUGGAAGUAUUUAUGGAAUCCAUGGAUUUCAUUCUGAAAUCAGUUUAAAACCAUCUGAGGCACUUGGCAAUGGUACCCAGCAGCUGCCCUAGUAGCAACUGCAGCAGCUGGAUCAAUACAGCUGCUACUAAACAAAGGGAACUGCCAAGACCCAUGAAAUGUCCAAAUAAAUAGAGGUCUGAUAUUUCUAUUCUAAAAAUAAUGUGAUUUGACAUUUGUAUCUGUAAGAAAUUAUCUAAAAUGUUGAGAUAUUUCUGUUUAACAUAAUAAAAAAGAUGUAAUAGAAGUAAGAUGUUAUUUUCUGUUCAUGCUACAAGACUGAUAGCACAUUGCUAAAUGCUCUUGAACUUGGGAAUGAUUAAACAUAGGACAAUGUUUUGGGAACAAAAUGAAAAUAAUAGAAACUUCAAUUUCCUUAGCUCUUAACCUGUUCUUUCAGGCUGUAUCUAUUCGGCACCUAAUCUGAACUGAGUACUUCAAGAACACUGGAGGCACAGCUCUGAAAACAAAUAACAAAAUCCCAUGAGCACUCAGCAUUUGUCUUCAAAUUGAUUUAUUUCAUUAACAAAUUAUGUAAAUUAUUUAGUUGAAAAAUAUCUUGGGUUACUAUGAAUGCUUGGCAGGCAAAGACUUUUACCACUACAUCUGAAGACACUUAGGUCUUCACUGUUCCCAGGACCCAUGUUGUAAAAGAGGAUAGGUAAGACUGUUGGGGGGAGGGUGGCAAUGGGGGGAGGGGAACACCCAUAAGAAAGGGGAGGGGGGAGGGGGAUGUUUGCCCGGAAACCGGGAAAGGGAAUAACACUCGAAAUGUAUAUUAGAAAUACUCAAGUUAAUAAAAAAAAGUAAAAAAAAAAAGUAAAAAAGAAUACCUGUAAGCAAGUCAGAAAAAAUAAAAACAGAAAACAAUGAAAAAAAAAAGCCCUUAACAUUAUCUUCUCAACUCAGCAUGUAUACUGCAGCAUGACAUGUGCCCACAUAUGUAUGCAUGCAUGCAUCAUAAACAUACAAUAACUAAAUAUGAAUGUUUAAAAUGUUAUUAUAAUCAGCAUGCUGAAGGCAUUUGUUGGCCUUUAGCCUAGACAAUGUUCUAGGUAUAGCAUAUACUAUUUUAGAUGUGAAAAUUAAGAUUUCAGACAGAAUUCAUCUGUGCAAAGCUCUAUAAUGUGAAAGUCCCAGUCUGAACUUAUGGUCCAUGUAGCCUCCUGCCUCCUCCCAUAACAAACAUACUCAGUAUAACAUCAACAGUUAGUCUUAACCAUUUUAUUUCUAGUUACAUAAAAAUUAAACACCCUGGUAACUUGUUUUUAAAUAAAAGGGUUCUGUUUAUAAACUGGGUCCAUUACACCAGUUACAAAUCCUUAAGAUUCUAGGAAUAUUCAGGCCAUGAGAGUUCUUAAAAAAUAAACACAAACACUGCAGUUCUUAAAUUCCAUUUUGAAGUUGGCAGUUAUAAGAUAAUCGCACUUGGAGUGUUCUCUCACCUCAAACCGAGCAUAUAGCAUGUAUAUAUAUAUAGAACUAAAUGUUCUCUAUUUCUAAGAGAACAUGGGACCUGCAGAGAGUCCUCUGGAAUUGUUAGUCCAAACUGUUCACUUCUAAGAGAAGGAAUUAAGGCCAGGAAAUGUUAACAUUUAUGACAACAUGUGUUUGAGUAACACUUGAAUGUUUUGUCUCAUAUAGAGAUUUCUAAACGUCCCCACUUGUCUUUUAACUUAAUCUGAGGAUAGACUGAGAUGUAGCUUGUAUAUGAACCUAUAGACAAGAUGCUUAGAAACUAUUUUUGUGUAGAUUCCAGAAUAUUUAGAAUGACUACUAAAAUGUAAGGAAGUCAAUAACUUUCCCUAGGCACCAAUUGGGAUGAUUUAAAAUUUUAAAUUACUUUAGAAUAGUGAGUAUUCAAUCACAAGUAUAUAAUGUCCUGCAAAACCACAUUAGAGUAUAAAUAAUUGACUUUCACAUUAAUAUAAUCAUGUGCACAUUUGGGUUUCUGUUUCCCAGCAAAUCACAAAUAUAGGACAAGUAUAUAUUUCUUCUUUCUCAAAUGCUUCAGGUAUAAAGAAAGUAGGGACAAAAAUAUGGCUAUUAUGUAGAUUGUGGCACACACUAAACAAGGUAGUGCACUGAUACUAAAUAAAAAAAUCACUUUUAAAGAUAUGUGUGGUGAUGCAUGCACACAAUCCCAGCUGGGCAGAGGGAGGCUAAGACAGGAAGUUUAGAGGGCAGGAUGGGCUAUGAAGUGAGAAAGUAUUUCUAAAGACUCCAUAUUUUCUUAACUUGUAGUGGUUCUGAUGCUUUGAUCAGAAAAAUGCAUGGAAACCCUGAAGGUCCUGUUCUCCAAUUGGUUCUUGAUCAAUCAAUAAAGAUGCUAGUGACUAAUGACUGGGUAGAAAGAGAUGGGACUUCCAGGUUUACACCCAGAAGGCUAGAAGAUACAGAAAGGAAAAAGAAGAUUCACCAUGCUUCAGAGGGAGAAAACUCCACCAGUCAUGUGAGGUCUCAGGUGGAGUGGCCAUUGUACACUUCCCCAACUGGGCCUGGAGUAGUAGCUGGGAGAUUAGAAACACAACUAAGCUGAGGACAGGUUUAGAGUGCUGAGCAAGGAGAAGGCAACCAGGCAACUAGGUUGAGGACAGAGUUAGAGGUAUUGAGCUAUGACUAAAGGUAACUAGGUAACUAAGUUGAGGGCAUGGUUAGAGGUGUUGAGCUGGGAGUAAAAAUAAUUGAGCAACUAAGCUGAGAGAAGAUUCAGAGGUGGUGAGCUGAGAAUGAAGGUAAGAGCAUGUUAGCUGCAGGAGUCUUAAAUGUGCCGUCAUUGAGCUAAAAAGCAUAUUAAAAAGAAGUGUGUGUGUGUGUGUGUGUGUGUGUGUGUGUGUGUGUGUGUGUGUGUGUGUGUUUCAUCCACAGACCCAAGGGAACCAGGGCAAGGGGCUAGUAGCACAAUCCCCCGGAGCUUAAAGGGGGGGGGUAGUAGAAACUACAUACUACAGUAACUAUUGUGUGUGAGAAUCCGUAGCUCACAAGAAGGAAAGGUCCUCUUGACAUUUAUUCUGUGCACUUAAGCUUAUUUAUACCACUUCUUGCUUGUGCUUCCAUUAUCUGAAUUUUAGUAAAAGUACCCCCCAAAGAAAUGAGUAGCUUUUGAUUACUGUCAAAAGAAAAAUCAAACAAAAGACAAACCCAUUGAAAACCUUUGAUACCAAGAGGAAUUUAUAAACAUGAGAAUACUUAGCAUAUGGCUUAAAAUGACUGAUUUUUUUUUAGUGUUAACUUUACCUUUUCUCCUCUUAAAUUUAGUUUUAGCUAAGCUAAAUUCUCUGUUGUUCCCUGAAAGUGCUCUACUGUCCUAUAUCAUCCUGGCUAUUCAUGUCACUUCCUUUGCCUUGUCUGACCUUUCUAAACUCUUAAUUCUUAUAUUGGGGUCUGUUUCUUAGAGGCAAGAUCCUGCCCCACUGAGCAGACCUCCAAGGCACUAUGGGUGGUGUGUGUGCAUCCAACUGUGUGUCAUAUGAAGGUGUGUGUGCCAUCCAAAUGUGUGUCAUAUAAAGGUGUGCAUGCCAUCCUACUGUGUGUUGUAUGAAGGUGUGCAUGCCUUCCUAGUAUGAGUCUUAUGAAGGUGUGAGGCAGAUGAUCUUACCAUAUAAUAGCUUACUUGUUUAAAUGUUAACCUCAAAAUGAUAUGGGGAAUUUUAUAUAGUUGUAUAUUGGCUUUUAAAGGAAGAGUGAAAUGGAUUUUUUAAAGUUCUAUUGGCUGUUGGCAUUACUACUGAAAAUAUACUUUGAUCAUGGUUUCCCUUCCUCCAACUUCUCUCAGAGUCUCUUUAUCUCCCCACUCACCAACUCCAUGUCUUUUUUGUCUCUUUAGAAAAAGAAGCAGAAAACCAAUGAAUAGAAAAAUGGAAGAAAAAGCACAGAAACACACACACACACGUACCACAUAAAAAUACAAAACCAGAAAUCAUAAUAUAUAAGCUAAAGACCAGUAAGUCAAAACAGUUCCCAAAUAAAUCAGUCUAAAAAAUCUGUAAAAUAGCAUUACUAUAAAAUUGUAACUGUGGUUUCAUGAAGUUACACACACACACACACACACACACACACACACACACACACACACACA